CCUACGGGGGGCAGCAGUGGGGAAUAUUGGACAAUGGGGGCAACCCUGAUCCAGCCAUGCCGCGUGUGUGAAGAAGGCCCUCGGGUUGUAAAGCACUUUCAGUGAGGAAGAACGCCUGGUGGUUAAUACCCAUCAGGAAAGACAUCACUCACAGAAGAAGCACCGGCUAACUCCGUGCCAGCAGCCGCGGUAAUACGGAGGGUGCGAGCGUUAAUCGGAAUUACUGGGCGUAAAGCGCGCGUAGGUGGCUUGAUAAGCCGGUUGUGAAAGCCCCGGGCUCAACCUGGGAACGGCAUCCGGAACUGUCAAGCUAGAGUGCAGGAGAGGAAGGUAGAAUUCCCGGUGUAGCGGUGAAAUGCGUAGAGAUCGGGAGGAAUACCAGUGGCGAAGGCGGCCUUCUGGACUGACACUGACACUGAGGUGCGAAAGCGUGGGUAGCAAACAGGAUUAGACACCCUAGUAGUC
rnacentral:rRNA from 1 species